rnacentral:tRNA from 1 species
GAGGGUAUAGCUCAGCGGCAGAAGGCGUGCUUAGCAUGCACGAGGUCCUGGGUUCAAUCCCCAGUACCUCCA